CCCUAAGUGGCUCAGAUAGUAAAGCAUCCGCCUGCAAUGCGGGAGACCUGGGUUCAAUCCCUGGGUCAGGAA
rnacentral:tRNA from 1 species